rnacentral:rRNA from 1 species
AACGAACGCUGGCGGCAUGCCUUACACAUGCAAGUCGAACGGUAACAGGUCUUCGGAUGCUGACGAGUGGCGAACGGGUGAGUAAUACAUCGGAACGUGCCUAGUAGUGGGGGAUAACUACUCGAAAGAGUGGCUAAUACCGCAUGAGAUCUACGGAUGAAAGCAGGGGAUCGCAAGACCUUGUGCUACUAGAGCGGCCGAUGGCAGAUUAGGUAGUUGGUGGGAUAAAAGCUUACCAAGCAGACGAUCUGUAGCUGGUCUGAGAGGACGAUCAGCCACACUGGGACUGAGACACGGCCCAGACUCCUACGGGAGGCAGCAGUGGGGAAUUUUGGACAAUGGGCGCAAGCCUGAUCCAGCAAUGCCGCGUGCAGGAUGAAGGCCUUCGGGUUGUAAACUGCUUUUGUACGGAACGAAAAGCCCUGGGUUAAUACCCUGGGGUCAUGACGGUACCGUAAGAAUAAGCACCGGCUAACUACGUGCCAGCAGCCGCAGUAA